UUGCUAAGGACAACUCAGCAACUUUUCCUGUGGACAGGAAAGAGGUGGAGCAGAGUUAUAUAGGCAGUGCCUGGCAGGGAUUGGAUCCAUCAGGGAGUACACACUAGCCCUAUAGCUUUCAGCCACUGCUCGCGUGCGGCUCCUAGAGGAAAAACAGAAAACUGCAGCAAUGAUGGAAGCAAUAGGAGAGGAUCCAGAGAAGGAAUGCCAGGAUGCACAGCAGACAAAUUGGAAAUAGGAUGUCACCUGAUGCUGGCCAAGUUACAAUGUGGCAGUAAUCCAACAACAAUUUCAUGUCUUUAGCUUUCUUUUAUGAAAACAUGAAUGCAUGUGGGAUAUAAGGAGAUAUACUGUAUAAGUGAGUAAACAUAAAUGCAAG